GCUGGGUGUGGUGGCGGGCACCUGUAAUCCCAGCUACUGGGGAGGCUGAGGCAGAAGAAUCACUUGAACCCGGGAGGCGGAGGCUGCAGUGAGCCAAGAUGGCGCCACUGCACUCCAGCCUGGGUGACAGGGUGAGACUCUGUCUCAA
rnacentral:SRP_RNA from 2 species